GACGAACGCUGGCGGCGUGCUUAACACAUGCAAGUCGAGCGGUAAGGCCCUUUCGGGGGUACACGAGCGGCGAACGGGUGAGUAACACGUGGGUGACCUGCCCUCAGCUCUGGGAUAAGCCUGGGAAACCGGGUCUAAUACUGGAUAUGACUCCAUGACGCAUGUUGGUGGGGUGGAAAGCCUUGUGCGGCUGAGGAUGGGCCCGCGGCCUAUCAGCUUGUUGGUGGGGUGAUGGCCUACCAAGGCGACGACGGGUAGCCGGCCUGAGAGGGCGACCGGCCACACUGGGACUGAGACACGGCCCAGACUCCGUACGGGAGGC
rnacentral:rRNA from 1 species